rfam:Camelus ferus unplaced genomic scaffold scaffold4120, whole genome shotgun sequence.
GAGGGUAUAGUUCAGUGGCAAAGCAUGUGCUUGGCAUGCACAAGGUCCUGGGUUCAACGCCCAGUACCUCCA